GAUAGGACGACACAGAAGAAGAAACUUUGACUUCCUGUAUCCAACUGAAGGUACAGACAAGUUACUGUCCUGAGACCCUCCCUGGGGAAAGAAAUUUCUCACUGAAUGAGCUCAUCAUGUUAGUGUUGGGCUGACCCUUUCUAUGACAUGAUGGAUGACAGUGAAUUGGAGGCGAUAGCCACGCCAUCAGGCAGCUCUUCCAUUGGGGAUGCAGUAUCUGGUAGAGCACAGAGUGUGCCUGAUGAAGGUGAAGAUGACGAGCUCUACGACAUCCCAGAGAGAAGACCUUCUCUGGACCUGGGACCGAGUCCAAUGGAUACCAGCCACUGGCAUUAUGUGGACCAGGCCUCUGCUCCAGCUCUGAGCUACAAUUCAAUGACAAGUGAGGAGAACUUAAGCACCAUGGAUGUCGACGAUGGAUCCUCUACGAGGGUCCAGCUGGACAGAGCAGAUUCAUACUCAAGCUGCUACUCCUUUGACAGUGACGACUGUGAAAAAAGAAUCCCCAGGGUUAAAAGCAACGAUGAUGCAGUCUCAGAGCCUUCUGACACACCUGAGUUAAUCCAAGACCCAAAUGCGAUCAGGCAUCCCUCACUGACAGUGGCUUUCACUUUUAAGGCUAUUUGUGCAACCCUUGGGAAGCUGACUGAAGCAGACUUCAAGAGAUUCAAGAUGAUGCUGUGGAAGCGUUACCCACAGUCAUUCAACACUCCUCCCCAAGGCAUGGACAUGGUGGACCUUGUGGACCGGUUACUUGAGUGUUAUGACCUGGAGGUGUCUUUGCAGAUCACCAGAACCCUUCUUGAGGAAAUGGAGCGAAAUAAUGUCAUUGAUUUUCUCCAGACUUUGUGCAUCAGAAAUGAAGUACGUCACGAGCUAAAGGAGACUCUGAAGAGGAUGUAUGGCAAAGUGCAUGAGGACUGGGCCAUGCAGGGAGAGAAAAGGCCUCUUGAUGAUGUCUUUACUAAUCUCCACAUAACCUCAACAUUCAAUAAUGGCCCAAAUCGUGAACAUGAGGUCCUGACCAUAGAAAAGCUGGACACCAACCACAAGGAAGGGAAGCUGCUUUCUACUGGGGAUAUCUUGAGUGCUGAAAGGCUCGAGCAAUCAAGCUUAAAGUUAUUGCUGGUCACAGGAGCGGCGGGGUCAGGGAAGUCUAUGGCAAUCAGAAAGUUAAUCCUUGAUUGGGUUGAAGAGCGUUCCCACCAACAUGUGUCCUUCUUGUUUCCUUUGCCGUUCAGAGAACUCAAAAAGUUUGAGGAUUCUGAGGUGUCCCUCGUGGAUAUAAUUCAAACACUCUACCCAGAAACAAAAAAACUGACGGAACAGGAUUAUAGAAGCGACGACUGCAAGCUAAUGUUUAUCUUUGACGGUCUCGAUGAGUACGAUGGCCCGCUUGACUUUCAAAACACUACGCUUGUCGGGGACCACACAGAGGCCACCACCCUGAACAUCCUCGUGGUCAACCUCCUCAGAAAUAGGAUGCUCUACCGCGCCCUAUUUGUGUUCUUCUCCCGGCCGCCAGUAAAGCGCUGCAUCCCUUGGGAUACGCUUCGUGAUCAGAUAGAAGUGCGUGGUUUCCUUGACUCUGAAAGGGAGGAGUACUUCAGGAAGAGAUUUAAGGACCCAAAUCAAGCAGCUCGAGUUAUUGCGUAUAUCAACUCCUCCAAAACCCUCCGCAUCAUGUGCUACCUGCCCUUGUUUUGCUCACUGGUGGCUGAUGAGCACCAGCACAUAUUUAAAGAACAGGGAACAGGGGCAGAAGUGCCAAGGAGCAUCACCUACAUGUACACAAAGUUGAUGCUUGUACUCACACGUCAGCAACACACAUUUAGAGCUCGAUAUUGUAGCCCAGAUAAAGAGAGAGACUUCCUCAUGAAACUUGGAAAGUUGGCCUUCAGCAUGCUGGAACAAGGCCAGUUCAAGCUCAAGAAGCCUAAGUGGCAAGAGCAUGGAGUGGAUGACACGGAGACAGUGAUCAAGAGCGGUCUGUGCAUGCAAUACAUCACAAAGACAAUGGUUUUCUAUCAGGAUAAAGUCAUCAGCUUUAUCCACCCCACCAUGCAGGAGUACCUGGCUGCCCUUUACGUGUUUCUCACCUUCACAAAUCAGGGGAAGAACAUUUUUGAGCACCAACUGAAAGACAAGGUCAGGGGAAUAUUCAAGGCACACAAAGUGAUGGAGCUGUACAAGAGCGCUGUGGACAGAAGCUUGCCGUAUGAGGACGGCAAACUGGACAUCUUCCUGCGUUUCCUGUUUGGCAUGGCUGUUAAGACCAACCUGGAGCUUCUCCAGCCAUUCUGCACAUCUUCUGUAAAGUGGCCAACAUUCAUUGAAGAUGCCGCUGCUCUCAUCCGGAAGAGGAUUAGAGAAAAUGAGUAUCCUGGCAGAAAUAGCAACUUGCAGUGCUGCCUGGACGAGCUGGGAGUGUGAGCCUCAGAGGCAGCAUCAGUUGAUCCGACUCUUUUAAACAGUGAUCACUGCGCUUAAUCAUUUUGAUGCAAAAUAAUUGUCAAGGCUUCCGCUGAAUUCUGAUGGGAGGAAAACUGUUCCAGAUGUGGAGGAACAGGUUUCUCUCCCGAUCAAUCAACAUGUGCACUAAUGGAGCUUUAGAACAGUUAAAAACAUAAUAACUUCUGUUCAGUUCAGCAGUAUACUGAUGUACCAGUGAUGUGAAAACAGAAUCCCUUCAGGUUUGGUGUGAGCUGAUGUGUGUUUAUAUAGAUUUAAAGAAGCUGAAAGAUAUUACGUGGCCUUAUUUUGGGAGUUUAUUUUUUUUCCGUUUUCAUACAAUCAAAUGUUUUUGAUGGACAUUAUUAAUUAUUUCCUGUGGUGCUAGCUCAUGCUUGAUAUGUCAUGACAUGCUUCUUAAAAUGUCUAAUAUUUCUUUACACUGUGUUUUUAACACAAUAUCAUAAGCAUUAUGAUGUUUGCUCUAAACCAAAAUUUUAUGGCAGAACUGAAAAUAUGUUAGAACUGAAUUAUUUUGUACUUUUAAGUGUUGCUGAUCACAAAUUAUUGCUUGUUGGCUGCUUGCAUUUAAGCUACAGUUGGUAACUUUUAUGACAGUAACUUUGCUUGAACUGUCACUAUACUCUGAAAGAAGUAAAUCAGGCAGACAGUCUGAAAAAAAAAUCAUGUCCCACCUUGUCUUUGUGCUGCUUUUAGUAGCAUUUGAUAGAAACUACCACGGCGCACCUAAAAUAACCAAUCAGAGCUGAUGAGUCCUAACGCAGCUGUCAGUGACUGCUUGUGCAGUCAAACUAGACAGCGCUGAUUACUGCAUUGCCUCGGGAGUAAGACAUUGUGUAAACCAGCUGCCAUGUUAGAAACAGUCAUCCCAAGCUCCAUGUACCAAGCACCACCCACUGGCUGCAGCAACUUUCUUAUUUUAAGCUUAACAGUACGCUAAAAUAUAAUUCUGUAAACAUUUGAGAAAUAGGCAAUGCAGUGACACAAUCUUGACUUACAUUUGUGAGCGCUGCCUAGUUUGACGGCAGGUCACAAGCAGUGAUUGACAUCUGUGUUAAAGACUCCUCAGCUCUAAUUGGUUGUUUUCAUUCCCAGGCAGCAGACCAUUACAAAUAUGAUUUGUUUUCAUAGAUGAUGUCUCAUUUAGUGCUGUGUGAAUAUACAGACAGUUUCAGCAAAUACGAUAAAAGUGAUUUUUGCAUGAAAUGUACCAACUUCAGCUUUAAAGGACAACCUCGGUUGAAAAAUACCAAAGUUAUCCUUUAAUGUUUUGGUUUGUAAAUCAGUAAUCACAUUUAAGAGCUGCAGUGCUUACAGUUUCUGUACUGUAAGCAUUUGCACUUAAAUCCCACUAAUCACCCACCAGUCACACAUGGAAGUGUUGAUCUCAGUGUAUGUUAUACAGGUUAUGAUACUACUGACAGUGAUACCCAUUGGAAAAAGGUGGCAACACUAAUAAUAAACCUCAAACCCCAGAGGAGUUUGUGGAUGAAUUGACUGAUUUGACUUUGUCUCAUUAUGAGUAUAUUUUCAUAUGCUCC